rnacentral:rRNA from 1 species
CGCCUGUUUAUCAAAAACAUGUCUUAAUGUUAUUUAUUUUAAGUCUAGCCUGCUCAAUGAAUUGUUUUAAAUAGCCGCAGUAAUUUAACUGUGCUAAGGUAGCAUAAUAAUUAGUCUUUUAAUUGAAGUCUUGAAUGAAAGGUUGGAUGAAAAAUCUACUUUAUUAAUAUUUUUUUAUUGAAUUUUAUUUUUAAUUUAAAAAGAUUAAAUUUAUUUAGGGGACGAUAAGACCCUAUAGAUCUUAAAAAUAUUUUUUUUUUAUUAAUUUUUGUUGUUAAAUUUUUUGUAAAAAUAUUAUUUUUUUGUUGGGGUGACAAAUAAAAAUUUAAACUUUAUUUAUUUUUUACAUUUAUAGUUGAUUUUUUGAUCCUAAGUUUUGGAUAGUAAGAUAAAGAUACCUUAGGGAUAACAGCGUUAUAAUUCUGGAGAGUUCUAAUCAAUAGAAUUGUUUGCGACCUCGAUGUUGGAUUAAUUUUAAUUUGUGGGGUAGAUUUUACAAUUUUAGGUCUGUUCGACUUUAAAAAAUUACAUGAUCUGAGUUCAGACCGG